UACGUAGGGUGCAAGCGUUGUCCGGAAUUAUUGGGCGUAAAGAGCUCGUAGGCGGUUCGUCGCGUCGGCUGUGAAAUCCCGAGGCUCAACCUCGGGUCUGCAGUCGAUACGGGCGGACUGGAGUUCGGCAGGGGAGACGUGGAAUUCCUGGUGUAGCGGUGAAAUGCGCAGAUAUCAGGAGGAACACCGGUGGCGAAGGCGGGUCUCUGGGCCGAUGACUGACGCUGAGGAGCGAAAGCGUGGGGAGCGAACAGG
rnacentral:rRNA from 1 species